rnacentral:rRNA from 1 species
CCUACGGGAGGCAGCAGUGGGGGAUAUUGCACAAUGGGGGGAACCCUGAUGCAGUGACGCCGCGUGGGUGAAGAAGCGCCUCGGCGCGUAAAGCCCUGUCAGCAGGGAAGAAAAUGACGGUACCUGAAGAAGAAGCCCCGGCUAACUACGUGCCAGCAGCCGCGGUAAUACGUAGGGGGCAAGCGUUAUCCGGAUUUACUGGGUGUAAAGGGGGCGCAGACGGCCCUGCAAGUCAGAAGUGAAAUCCAUGGGCUUAACCCGGGAACUGCUUUUGAAACUGUAGGGCUUGAGUGAAGUAGAGGCAGGCGGAAUUCCCGGUGUAGCGGUGAAAUGCGUAGAGAUCGGGAGGAACACCAGUGGCGAAGGCGGCCUGCUGGGCUUUAACUGACGCUGAAGCACGAAAGCGUGGGUAGCAAACAGGAUUAGAUACCCCGGUAGUC